rnacentral:rRNA from 1 species
GGCGGCGUGCUUAACACAUGCAAGUCGAGCGAUGAAGCUUCCUUCGGGAAGUGGAUUAGCGGCGGACGGGUGAGUAACACGUGGGUAACCUGCCUCAAAGUGGGGGAUAGCCUUCUGAAAGGAAGAUUAAUACCGCAUAAUAUGAGAGAAUCGCAUGAUUUUUUUAUCAAAGAUUUAUUGCUUUGAGAUGGACCCGCGGCGCAUUAGCUAGUUGGUAAGGUAACGGCUCACCAAGGCAACGAUGCGUAGCCGACCUGAGAGGGUGAUCGGCCACAUUGGAACUGAGACACGGUCCAGACUCUUACGGGAGGCAGCAGUGUGGAAUAUUGCGCAAUGGGGGAAACCCUGACGCAGCAACGCCGCGUGGGUGAUGAAGGUCUUCGGAUUGUAAAGCCCUGUUUUCUGGGACGAUAAUGACGGUACCAGAGGAGGAAGCCACGGCUAACUACGUGCCAGCAGCCGCGGUAAUACGUAGGUGGCGAGCGUUGUCCGGAUUUACUGGGCGUAAAGGGUGCGUAGGCGGAUGUUUAAGUGGGAUGUGAAAUCCCCGGGCUUAACCUGGGGGCUGCAUUCCAAACUGGAUAUCUAGAGUGCAGGAGAGGAAAGCGGAAUUCCUAGUGUAGCGGUGAAAUGCGUAGAGAUUAGGAAGAACACCAGUGGCGAAGGCGGCUUUCUGGACUGUAACUGACGCUGAGGCACGAAAGCGUGGGUAGCAAACAGGAUUAGAUACCCUGGUAGUCCACGCCGUAAACGAUGGAUACUAGGUGUAGGGGGUAUCCAACUCCCCCCUGUGCCGCCAGUUAA